CAAGUCGAACGAGACCUUCGGGUCUAGUGGCGCACGGGUGCGUAACGCGUGGGAAUCUGCCCUUAGGUACGGGAUAACACAGGGAAACUUGUGCUAAUACCGUAUGAUGACGAAAGUCCAAAGAUUUAUCGCCUAAGGAUGAGCCCGCGUAGGAUUAGCUUGUUGGUGAGGUAAAGGCUCACCAAGGCGACGAUCCUUAGCUGGUCUGAGAGGAUGAUCGGCCACAUUGGGACUGAGACACGGCCCAGACUCCUACGGGAGGCAGCAGUGGGGAAUAUUGGACAAUGGGCGCAAGCCUGAUCCAGCCAUGCCGCGUGAGUGAUGAAGGCCCUCGGGUCGUAAAGCCCUUUUCCCAGGGAAGAUAGUGACGGUACCUGGGGAAUCAGCCCCGGCUAACUACGUGCCAGCAGCCGCGGUAAUACGUAGGGGGCAAGCGUUGUCCGGAUUUAUUGGGCGUAAAGCGCUCGCAGGUGGUCCGUUGCGUCGUGCGUGAAAGACCCCGGCUCAACUGGGGAGUGUCGUGCGAUACGGGCGGACUGGAGGCCAGUAGGGGGAUGCGGAAUUCCGGGUGUAGUGGUGGAAUGCGUAGAGAUCCGGAGGAACACCAGCGGCGAAGGCGGCAUCCUGGACUGGUCCUGACACUCAGGAGCGAAAGCGUGGGGAGCGAUCCGGAUUAGAUACCCUGGUAGUCCACGCCGUAAACGAUGGACACUAGGUGUGGGAGGUGUCGACUCCUCCCGUGCCGAAGCUAACGCAUUAAGUGUCCCGCCU
rnacentral:rRNA from 1 species